rnacentral:rRNA from 1 species
GACGAACGCUGGCGGCGUGCUUAACACAUGCAAGUCGAACGGAAAGGCCCUGCUUUUGUGGGGUGCUCGAGUGGCGAACGGGUGAGUAACACGUGAGUAACCUGCCCUUGACUUUGGGAUAACUUCAGGAAAAUGGGGCUAAUACCGGAUAGGAGCUCCUGCUGCAUGGUGGGGGUUGGAAAGUUUCGGCGGUUGGGGAUGGACUCGCGGCUUAUCAGCUUGUUGGUGGGGUAGUGGCUUACCAAGGCUUUGACGGGUAGCCGGCCUGAGAGGGUGACCGGCCACAUUGGGACUGAGAUACGGCCCAGACUCCUACGGGAGGCAGCAGUGGGGAAUAUUGCACAAUGGGCGGAAGCCUGAUGCAGCAACGCCGCGUGCGGGAUGACGGCCUUCGGGUUGUAAACCGCUUUCGCCUGUGACGAAGCGUGAGUGACGGUAAUGGGUAAAGAAGCACUGGCUAACUACGUG